GACGAACGCUGGCGGCGCGCUUAACACAUGCAAGUCGAGCGAAGCGGCGGACGGGUGAGUAACCCGUGAGUAACCUGCCUUAGACAUUGGGAUAGCCUCGGGAAACCGGGAUUAAUACCAAAUGGUCUAAGAUGGACUUGCGUACCAUUGGCGUGUUGGUGAGGUAACGGCCCACCAAGGCGUCGAUGGUUUGCCGGCAUGAGAGGGUGAACGGCGACAUGGGAACAGAUAAACGGUCCAAACUCGACGGGAUGGAGCAGGGGGGAAUAUUGCACAAUGGAGGGAAUUCUGAUGCAGCGACGGAGCGUGAACUAAGACAUCUGUCGAGUCGGAAUGUUCGUUUAUAUGGUAAGCGGUACCAUAAGAAAAAGCCCCUGCUAACUACGUGCCAGCAGCCGCGGUAAUAC
rnacentral:rRNA from 1 species